CCUACGGGCGGCAGCAGUGAGGAAUAUUGGUCAAUGGACGAGAGUCUGAACCAGCCAAGUAGCGUGAAGGAUGACUGCCCUCUGGGUUUUAAACUUCUUUUAUAAAGGAAUAAAGUGAGGCACGUGUGCCUUUUUGUAUGUACUUUAUGAAUAAGGAUCGGCUAACUCCGUGCCAGCACCCGCGGUAAUACGGAGGAUCCGAGCGUUAUCCGGAUUUAGUGGGUUUAAAGGGAGCGUAGAUGGGUUGUUAAGUCAGUUGUGAAAGUUUGCGGCUUAACCGUAGAAUUGCAAUUGAUACUGGGCGUCUUGAGUACAGUUGAGGUAGGUGGAAUUCGUGGUGUAGCGGUGAAAUGCUUAGAUAUCACGAAGAACUCCGAUUGCGAAGGCAGCUUACUAAACUGCAACUGACAUUGAUGCUCGAAAGUGUGGGUAUCAAACAGGAUUAGAUACCCCAGUAGUC
rnacentral:rRNA from 1 species